GUUGACUUGUACCCAGAUUGCCUCAGGCCUGCAAAUCUUCUUGGAUAUCAGGUGAAGUUUUGUCAAGUGUACAUAUUAGUCCUGGUACCCUGUCAACAAACAAUCCCAGACAAUGAGGCUUCUUCUGGCAGUUCUUGUGGUUUCCCUGCUUUUUGCAGCUGGUUCCUCACAGCCAGCUCCUGAUAAAACUAACAUACAAAAGAGGGAAGCAUUUGUUGACUUUGUGAUCCCUGAGUCAGGUUUUCUGAAAAAAAGAGAUUUAAGGCCAUUACGUCUUGGUGCCAUUUAUAAUCCUGGUAUAUACUGAAUUGCUUCUGCUUUCUGUUGCAACCAAAAACGGCACUGAAGUUUGAUGGAAGACUGAAAGAAAAUAACUAUGUCUGCUGAUGAUCUCUCCUGCUACAAUGCAGCAUUACUAUAACAGUUUCUCUGCAACUUACUGUGGCUAUAAUAACUGCACAAAUUUCAAAAUAAUAUAUGUAAUAAAGCAUGUGAGUUGAUU